rnacentral:rRNA from 1 species
GACGAACGCUGGCGGCGUGCUUAACACAUGCAAGUCGAACGGAAAGGCCCUGCUUUUGUGGGGUGCUCGAGUGGCGAACGGGUGAGUAACACGUGAGUAACCUGCCCUUGACUUUGGGAUAACUUCAGGAAACUGGGGCUAAUACCGGAUAGGAGCUCCUGCUGCAUGGUGGGGGUUGGAAAGUUUCGGCGGUUGGGGAUGGACUCGCGGCUUAUCAGCUUGUUGGUGGGGUAGUGGCUUACCAAGGCUUUGACGGGUAGCCGGCCUGAGAGGGUGACCGGCCACAUUGGGACUGAGAUACGGCCCAGACUCCUACGGGAGGCAGCAGUGGGGAAUAUUGCACAAUGGGCGGAAGCCUGAUGCAGCAACGCCGCGUGCGGGAUGACGGCCUUCGGGUUGUAAACCGCUUUCGCCUGUGACGAAGCGUGAGUGACGGUAAUGGGUAAAGAAGCACCGGCUAACUGCGUGC